rnacentral:piRNA from 1 species
UGAGCUAGACACAGGGUGCUGAUUGGUGUG